rnacentral:tRNA from 1 species
CCUUCGAUAGCUCAGUUGGUAGAGCGGUGGACUGUAGAGCGAAGAGAAUACACACUGGGUGUAACCGAUAGUAAUCCAUAGGUCGCUGGUUCAAAUCCGGCUCGAAGGA